UCCCAUGUGGCUCAGUCAGUAGAGCAUGGUGCUUGCAAUGCUGUGGUUGUGGGUUUGAUUCCCAUGGGAG
rnacentral:tRNA from 1 species